rnacentral:lncRNA from 1 species
AUGGCCUUGGCCUCGCCCAGCUGUGCUGUCCCCACCCAGCCAGCUGCUUUCCCAUUUAAAGGACUAGUCCCAUACUGCUGGGUGGGCACUUUUCAGAGGACUGACCGCUUUACUCAGCCUUUGCCUAGGAGGAGGCCGUCAGACCCAGGCGUGGAACCCUUUGCUCUUCAACCAGCCAAGCCCAGCGCCACCCAGCCCACGCAUUGUCUCCGGGCCAGGAUGAAGGCAUCACCAGACACACCUCGCAUUCAGCUGCAGCGCAGACACUCUUGCAGUUUCUGGUCUUCUCAUUUCUUGGAGAAUUCUCUUGUCCGAGCCAUCAGCGGCCUCGUUGGGGACAACAGAAGGCAUUCUGGGAACGCGGCGUUCUCACAUCCUGCAAAGUACAGGCCGGCGAAGCAGAUGGCAGGGACUUCAAAAGCAUAA